UGUCUCUUUAUUGCUUGAAUCACUUCUGGCCAUCUCAUCUCAGCAGCUGAGAAAGUGACAAAGAACUGAGGUGUUCCUAUUUGGCGAACCAUACUGAAUAGAUCUCUGGUAGUUUUCUGCCAGUAAGCUGGAGUUCCUCUGAGUGGCUGCAUAAAUCUGAUUGCAUCUUUAUUUCUUACCAGCUUCUCUACUUCUGUCUUACUUUGUAACAUUCCUGAUGUGAUUUUGCGUCCAUCUUUGGUCAUAGUUUUACCUUUCCUUAGCUGUAUUGUCAUGCUGGAAUUAGCCAAGUGUAUUUCAGUGACAAACUGUGAGAAAAACAGGUAAUUUGUGUCUUUAGCAAAUCUUGCAUCAAUGUUGAAAAGCCUUGACUUGAAGUAAGCACUUGGUGUGAGUUUAAAACGUCUCUUUUCAUCCAGUGUAUUCUGACCAGUAGGAAACUGCACAGGAAAUGCCAUGGCUUCCAAGUGAGGAGUUCUGAAGAAGCUAACAGGAUUGUUUCUUUCUGCAGGAGCCACACAAUAUGUGUUAUCAGUGAAAGAGAGAAUCUCUUCUGAAAUGUCAACAGGCUGCAGGCAACUUUCUAGAGCAAAACCUCCAUUGUUCAAAUCACUUUCUGGUUCCUCUGGAUUGAUUUCCUCUGGUUGUUCAUCACAGGAUUGCAUAUUAACAUCUUGUUCACUUUCAGACUCAGUUUCACACAAAAGGGCAUCUUUUUCAUAGUUGUCAAUUUCCAUUAAAUCUGCUUCAUCAUAAUCAUCACUUCCCAUGCUGGCUUCAUCACUGCUGUCAUCAUCAGGUAACGUGGGAUCACAAAGCAAUGCAUCAUCUCUGAUAACAAUAUCUGUGUACUGUGGAUGAAUUUGUUUGAGUUUACGCAGGGCUUGGAUCAGUUUAGACCAGGUGACAGUCUGGAACAGCUGAUGGCCUUUGUAGCACAGUCGUCUUUUCAACUUGAUCCUCAUUAUCUGUGAUUGGCUUCUGAGCCGAGGUAAAGAGUCAACUGUUUGUUGGACCUCAGAUGGUACACACACCACAUUACCACGUAUGAGUCUUUGUCUGCCCUUUGGAAGAGGAAUAAUCUUUGCAAAUGGUAUGCAUUUGGCAAUCAGAUGUCUCUCCAGAAUGUUGAGAUCACACAGUUCAGCUGGAAUAUCCUGCAGUUCUAAACCAUUGACAGCAGCAAGCCUUGGCAUGCGUCCACUUUUGAGGGAACUGUGACACGUGUGACAGAUAUACUCCUUUUUUCUCUCAACAGGAAAGCUGCAGUGAUCAUUACAUGCUUCAUCACACACAUGAACAAAUUUACCAGUUAGACACUGCUGAGCUACAGUUUGGUGUUUUGAGUAAUUUUCUCUUUUGCAGAUUUUCACCUGAUUAGGAAAAGAAGCUUUUAGACAAACAGUACAAACAUAAGAUGGUGCUGACUUAAUGUUUGACCUGAAACGAGAUAUGGCCUCAUUCAUUAAACUGUUAUCUGGAUGAUACUGUAAACUUUCAGCUGGUCGAUGCAUCUGACGAUAUUUUCUUUUUAUAUUCAUUGCACAUCUGAUAUUAUGCAUCUGUCUAAAAGAAAAAACGUUCCAAUAUUUUACUCUCAUUCGUUCUCUCAUAUUCUCUUUGUGUUGUUGCUGAAAUUGUCUCUCUUCUCCAUAACGUUUAGUGAUGUAAGAUAGUUUUUUCUUUUUAAAUUCUUCACUUUCUUGAUAUAGUUUAUAUACAUAUGACCUCAUGCAGGCUUUAUGUUUCUCUCUGAAUUCAACAGAACUUCCAUAUGUUCUUCUUAUACGUUCUUUCUGCUUUUCUCGGAAUAUAGAAGACUCUCUAUAUGUUCUUCUUAUACGUUCUUUCUGCUUUUCUCGGAAUAUAGAAGACUCUCUAUAUGUUCUUCUUAUACGUUCUUUCUGCUUUUUUUGGAAUAUAGAAGACUCUCUAUAUGUUCUUCUUAUACGUUCUUUCUGCUUUUCUCGGAAUAUAGAAGACUCUCUAUAUGUUCUUCUUAUACGUUCUUUCUGCUUUUUUUGGAAUAUAGAAGACUCUCUAUAUGUUCUUCUUAUACGUUCUUUCUGCUUUUCUCGGAAUAUAGGAUUGUCUUUGUAUGUCCUUAUGACACAUUGCCUUUUUUUCUCUCUAAUUUUAGCACUUUCUCUAUACAGCCUUUUCAUUUGCUCCUUCUGUUUUUCCUUAAAAUCAUCUCUUUCUUUAUAGAUCUUUCUCAAAUGUUCUGUCUGUUUCUCUCUAUAUGUAGCAUUUAUUUUAUACAGAUUAUUUUUGUACACUCUCUUCUUCUGUCUGUGAUCUGGAUCAUUAGACUUUCUACUGGAAUUUCUUUUCUUUGCCUUAAAGCUUUCAUCACAACUGUACAUCUCCCUUUCCUUCCUUUUCUGAUUUUCCUUUCUUUGUGGUAAUUUCUGUUGGGCCAGUGACCUUCUCCUCAUUUUUUGUGCUUCCUGUUUAUUACGUUUCAAAAUUUUAUGUGGCAGUUCCUGUGUUGCCUUAGUUGAACAGGAGGCAGUGUUUGAAUCAUUCUGAGGAACAGCAUCUGAUAUUACCUGAGUUUCUCUCACAGAAGAUGCAGAGGUUUCUUUCUGUAAAUAAUCAGAAGGACGAUUCUUGUUUUCAGUAGCAGCUGUCUCAUCUGAAUAAUCCACUCUGGAUGAUGUCACUUCAGUGAUUACAGUCUCCGUAACAGUUUUCCGUGUCCGCUCAGUGGUUGUUUGGGAAUUUAAUUCAUGGACAGGUUCAUUUAAAGCUGCGGCUGGAACACUUGCAGCGGUUUGUCUGUAUUCGGUGGUUUGAUUAGCAUCUCUUUGGUCAGCAGCGUUUUCACUGUGAAACUCGACAGGCUGUAGCUCAUAAGUGCAGGAGAGGCCUGGCUUCGGGACGCACAGAUGCUACUCACUCGUGGACGACUUUCACUGUUUGUAACAUGUACAUGAGACGGUCCUGGAGCUUCUCCAUCAUGCUGCGUUUGCACAGUUACCUGGGGUUCAGUCUGGAUUACCUGCUGUACUUUAACAUUUGGCACACAUGCUGAGCGAAUACCUCUCUUUACCACAUCUGCAUAAGACACUGCGGCUGUCUGAACGCUGCUCUGCACUUCUGGACUGGGAAUACUUGUAACAGACACCUUUACCUGCUCACCGCUCUGAGAAACAUUUACCUGUUCUUUCUGCUUUUGCCAUCUAAGCUUCUGGGACUGCGACCUUUGACCUUUCCUUGGCAUUUUGUUAAGUACAAACUACACCUUAUGUUUAUUUCUACACAAAUGUUAAAAAACUCAACCUGUAAACACUGAAAAACUGACACCUC
ensembl:lncRNA